rnacentral:rRNA from 1 species
GCUUGUCUCAAAGAUUAAGCCAUGCAUGUUCAAGUAUAGCAAGUGUACAGUGAAACUGCGAAUGGCUCAUUAAAUCAGUUAUAAUUUAUUUGAUAGUGAAAUUGUACAUGGAUAACCGUGGCAAUUCUAGAGCUAAUACAUGCGCAAAUUCCCGACUGUCGCAAGGCGGAAAGGAUGUAUUUAUUAGAUCCAACCAGCCCGGUUCGCCGGAGUCCCUGGUGAGUCAUAAUAACUGAGCGAAUCGCAUGGCCUUGUGCCGGCGAUGGUUCAUUCAAGUUUCUGCCCUAUCAGCUUUCGAUGGUAGGGUAUUGGCCUACCAUGGCGUUAACGGGUAACGGAGAAUUAGGGUUCGAUUCCGGAGAGGGAGCCUGAGAAACGGCUACCACAUCCAAGGAAGGCAGCAGG